UACAGGGGGUGCAAACGUUGCUCGGAAUCAUUGGGCGUAAAGCGCACGUAGGCGGUUCGUUAUGUCGGAUGUGAAAGCCCUUGGCUUAACCGAGGAAGUGCAUCCGAAACUGGCGAGCUAGAGUACUAAAGAGGAUCGCGGAAUUCCCGGUGUAGAGGUGAAAUUCGUAGAUAGUCGGGAAGGAACACCGGUGGCGAAGGCGGCGAUCUGGGUAGAUACUGACGCUGAGGUGCGAAAGCGUGGGGGAGCAAACAGG
rnacentral:rRNA from 1 species